GAUGAACGCUGGCGGCGUGCCUAAUACAUGCAAGUCGAGCGAAUGGAUUAAGAGCUUGCUCUUAUGAAGUUAGCGGCGGACGGAUGAGUAACACGUGGGUAACCUGCCCAUAAGACUGGGAUAACUCCGGGAAACCGGGGCGAAUACCGGAUAACAUUUUGAACCGCAUGGUUCAAAAUUGAAAGGCGGCUUCGGCUGUCACUUAUGGAUGGACCCGCGUCGCGUUAGCUAUUUGGUGAGGUAACGGCUCACCAAGGCAACGAUGCGUAGCCGACCUGAGAGGGUGAUCGGCCACACUGGGACUGAGACACUGCCCAGACUCCUACGGGAGGCAGCAGUAGGGAAUCUUCCGCAAUGGACGAAAGUCUGACGGAGCAACGCCGCGUGAGUGAUGAAGGCUUUCGGGUCGUAAAACUCUGUUGUUAGGGAAGAACAAGUGCUAGUUGAAUAAGCUGGCACCUUGACGGUACCUAACCAGAAAGCCACGGCUAACUACGUGCCAGCCGCCGCAGUAA
rnacentral:rRNA from 1 species